CCAUUGUUGAAAACGUUUGAGAAGUUCUGGAAGCUUUUAAUUUGAUUUGGUCGAGGUAAAGGAAAACUAUUAUGUUAUAACCAGCAUGAACUGCAUUCACCCGAGAGAUGUAUGAUUGACAGUGUGGAGUUCAGUCCCUCAGACUUGAACGUGUUCUCUCUCUUAUAUUAUACGGAUUACGUUUAUUUGAACUAUUGGAACUAAAUGUUUAUGUAACUGAAACAGU